UGUGCGUCUAUUUCUAUCCAAACAAGAAAUAUAUGGUCAAACCCUACUUUUGCCCCAACACAAAAAAUUAUACCAUAAAUGGAAUUAUCUACAUUUUUACAUUCGUAGUCGAUAAGAACACAAAAGGUCAAUGAAAUUUCGGAUAUUUGCAUAAAGAUAAGUAAAAAUAAAGUACGAUAAUUUUUGCUUGGUCAUGAUUUGUCUUCCCGUUUGUUAAUAGUUACGAGUGACCUCAACAAUAUUUGUGAAGGGCUCGCCUAGCUUUCACAAAUAUAGACGCAUGUUGACAAUAUUUGCGAACGGCCUCGAGAA
rnacentral:lncRNA from 1 species